rnacentral:rRNA from 1 species
AUUGAACGCUGGCGGCAGGCCUAACACAUGCAAGUCGAGCGGAUGAAGGGAGCUUGCUCCUGGAUUCAGCGGCGGACGGGUGAGUAAUGCCUAGGAAUCUGCCUGGUAGUGGGGGAUAACGUCCGGAAACGGGCGCUAAUACCGCAUACGUCCUGAUGGAGAAAGUGGGGGAUCUUCGGACCUCACGCUAUCAGAUGAGCCUAGGUCGGAUUAGCUAGUUGGUGGGGUAAAGGGCUACCAAGGCGACGAUCCGUAACUGGUCUGAGAGGAUGAUCAGUCACACGGGAAGUGAGACACGGUCAAGACGCCUACGGGAGGGAGCAGUGGGGAAUAGUGGACAGUGGGCGAAAGCCUGAUACAGCCAUGCCGCGUGUGUGAAGAAGGUCUUCGGAUUGUAAAGCACUUUUAGUUGGGAGGAAGGGCAGUAAGUUAAGACCUUGCUGUUUUGACGUUACCAACAGAAUAAGCACCGGCUAACUUCGUG